GGAGAGACUUUGAGGAGCAACCCAGGCUCCAGACUUUGCUAUGGGGUGGGGCUGAGUGGAUCCUCCUGAACCCACCUCUUUGAUUGGCUCUUUUUCCAGCCCUCUCUUUCAUUCCCCUACAGGUGGCUCCUGAGAGCAUUUCUUCUUAAACAAGAAUCCCUGGCUCCUACUCUACUCCCAGGGACACUGAACCCUAAGGCGAACUCAGUGGCUCACCCAGGUUAUCAUUCACCCACAAGCACCUCACACUUGGCCGGCUUGGAGAACUUGGAGGACAGAGCCCAAACACUUUUUGAGGACUUUGGGGAAAGCAGGAAGGCCGGACAGCAGUACCUACAGGGGCCAAUGGAUCCAAGGAGAAGGCCCAGCGAAAGGAAGGACCCAGCAGCUCCCCCUUGCCAGCGCUGGAGACCCUGGCUCUGGGGCCCAGUCCCAGCCCUAGUCCAGCAGCGACGGACAGUGCAUCAGUCAAGGGCACUGCUCACCUCCCUCCGGACCCAACCGCCAUGAAGGCCAAAGCCGAGCCCCCAUGCAGGCCAGCUCACGUCCCAUUCUGCCAUGUCUCGGGCUGGAGCGAAUUGUAUUGAUAGAAAAUAAAAUGUCGACAUAAAAAAGAAU
rnacentral:lncRNA from 1 species